CCUACGGGAGGCAGCAGUGAGGAAUAUUGGUCAAUGGCCGGAAGGCUGAACCAGCCAUGCCGCGUGAAGGUCAGUGCCCUAUGGGUUGUAAACUUCUUUUAUAAAGGAAUAAAACGAGGCACGUGUGCCUUUUUGCAUGUACUUUAUGAAUAAGGAUCGGCUAACUCCGUGCCAGCAGCCGCGGUAAUACGGAGGAUCCGAGCGUUAUCCGGAUUUAUUGGGUUUAAAGGGAGCGUAGAUGGGUUGUUAAGUCAGUUGUGAAAGUUUGCGGCUCAACCGUAAAAUUGCAAUUGAUACUGGCAGUCUUGAGUACAGUUGAGGUAGGCGGAAUUCGUGGUGUAGCGGUGAAAUGCUUAGAUAUCACGAAGAACCCCGAUUGCGAAGGCAGCUUACUAAACUGUGACUGACAUUGAUGCUCGAAAGUGUGGGUAUCAAACAGGAUUAGAUACCCUUGUAGUC
rnacentral:rRNA from 1 species